rnacentral:misc_RNA from 1 species
GAUGAAGAACGUAGCGAAAUGCGAUAAGUAACGUGAAUUGCAGAAUUCAGUGAAUCAUCGAAUCUUUGAACGCAUCUUGCGCUCCCUGGUAUUCCGAGGAGCAUGCCUGUUUGAGUGUCAUCUAAAUCCUCAAACCACAUUGAUUCUUUCGGUGUGGCUUUGGAAGUGGGGGUAGUGUUUGCAGGUUUUAUCUUAAGUCUGCUCCCCUGAAAUGCAUUAGUGGUAUCUGAGCAGAAGGAACUACUACAGGUGUGAUAAUUUAUCUAUGCCUUAGUAUACUGCAUAAAACAGAUUACACUGCUUAUAACAAACUUUAUUUCUUUUUUUUGGAGACCUCAAAUCAGGUAGGACUACCCGCUGAACUUAAGCAUAUCAAUAAGCGGAGGA